rnacentral:rRNA from 1 species
GACGAACGCUGGCGGCGUGCUUAACACACGCAAGUCGAACGGAAAGGCCCGGCUUUUGUGGGGUUCUCGAGUGGCGAACGGGUGAGUAACACGUGAGUAACCUGCCCUUGACUUUGGGAUAACUUCAGGAAACUGAGGCGAAUACCGGGUAGGAGCUCCUGCUGCAUGGUGGUGGUUGGAAAGUGUCGGCGGUUGGGGAUGGACUCGCGGCUUAUCAGCUUGUUGGUGGGGUAGUGGCUUUCCAAGGCUUUGACGGGUAGCCGGCCUGAGAGGGUUACCGGCCACCAUGGGACUGCGAUACGGACCAGACUCCUACGGGAGGCAGCAGUGGGGAAUAUUGCAGAAUGGGCGGAAGCCUGAUGCAGCAACGCCGCGUGCGGGAUGACGGCCUUCGGGUUGUAAACCGAUUUCGCCUGUGCCGAAGCGUGAGUGACGGUAAUGGGUAAAGAAGCACCGGCUAACUACGUG